UUUUUUUUUUUUUCCCAAUGCUUUAAAUUUUUCACUCCUCUUCUUGCUUUCGAAUAGAUUUGUUCUACUUGGUAUCAUCUGAGCUUCCUGGAUUUGUAGCUUGAGCUUGGGAAGUUUCUUUUGACUUGGCUUCAAAUUCUCUGAUUUUUUCCUCCAUGGCCACUGAUGCAGAAACUGGCUCCAAAUGAUUGCCAUUUGCCCAAGGUCAUACACCUAAUAUAAGGUAGGGCCAGUAGUUGUGACUCUAAUUAUUCUGUGUAUCAAUUACAAGAGGAAACUGCCUCAGGGAGUCGAGGCACAAACUGGGGACCCAUCGGCCUUAUAUUAAUGCUGUAUCUAUUUUUUCUCAGGGCUGCAAUCCUAUAUUCGCAGUCAAGAAAACCACCCACUUUAAAGAUGAGUUGUGUGAAAGGUUGUGUCUCAAAAGUUUCUUUAGCUCUUCAUAUUAACAAAUGGACAUGGAACUCCUGGGAGUUGAGUGGAUGCAUAGAGAGUCCAACUUCGCACAUGUCCUGCUUUUAGCAGCAGCUUAGCAGUGAGCAGUUUAAUGGAGAAACAAAUGGAGGCUUUUCCUUCCCUUCCUUUACUUAUGCAAUAAUUUGAUCAAUAUUUAUAGAUCCUUACUAUGUACUAGGAAAUGUUCUAAGUUCUGAAGAUCCAGUGGUGGCUGAGAAACACAUCCUGCCUUCAGAAAGCUCAAAAUCUAGUGAGGAGACCAAGGAGUUUACAAAACCCAUUUACAAUGAUGGACAGUGAGUUCUCUGUUUUAUUAAAGCAGAAUGUUCUGAGUACAGGAGGGAAGAAGCCUAACUCAGUCUGGAGGACAAGGAACGUGUGUUAACUGAGAUAAAGUGAUGGUAAGUUCUGGUAUUUUAAAUUGCUCAGUGAAAGUAGACAAAAGCUAGCAAUGAAUUUAAACAACUCAGAUUUUUGGAGAAGAUUACUUAUGUAUGUUUCUCAGGCAUGCAUAAAAUCUUGGAUUACUGAAAUCAACAAACAGGUUGAACUCCGUGGGCUCCUCAAGGGAAGAGACUGUGUCAGACAAAUUUAUAUCAUCAGUGCCUAAGCACCUAGCACCCAGGAGGUGCCCAACAAAUGGUAAUUGAAUUGAAUCUGACAGAAGGGUGGGUGAUCUAAUUUCACUGAAGCACCGUGUUUAAGAGUGAUCACUAGGGAAGAUGAAAAGAAGAGUGAAAGGAUGAUUGAAGUCCGCAUACGAAAUCUUGGUUCACAAUUAAAAUUUCUGAGUUUUUCUGCAGCCCUGCUUCUGAGAAAAUGGGCUUGUUCUUGAACCUGAUCUGCUUUAUCCAAAGCUCUCUUGGGGAAUAUUAAAAAACAUGAGUUGCAAGGAACAACUGACCCAAUCUAUGCUUUUCACUUCAGGGAAAGAAUGAAGGAUGGGAUUGGGAUAAGAUGGCAGAGUAGAAGCACUUAAGCUCAGCUUCUCUCAUGAAAACACUAAAAUUACAACUAACUGCUGAACAACCAGCAACAAAAUAGACUGGAAACUAUCAAGAAUGCAGGAUAAAAUCAUCUAAAAAGUCAAGAAUCACCUGCCUCCAAGUCCCAUUUAAGGAUGAAAAUUUAAACCAGACAGUUGAAUUAAAUUUGAAGUGAACUAAUAAUAAUAAUAACAAUAACAAUAAUAAUAAUAAUUGAAUUGUACCCAAGAUUCUACUUGAUCUCAACCUCAUGUCUCUUCCUUUUCUCCAGUUCUUCUACUACUGGGAGAUUUGGGAGUGGGAAUAGAAAAACAGGGAAGAGGUCAAGUUCAAAAGGUAGGUGGUACCACAGGAAAAGUUUGUACAGACUCACUGCAGAACCUAAUCCCCACCAAAGAACAGAAGUACUAGGAAACUGCCCCACAACCCCUCCCCACUACCUACCACCAUCAGAUGUAAACACACAUAAGAAGAAAGCUCUCGGAGUUCCCACUGUGGCUCAGCCAAAACAAAUUUGACUAGCAUCCAUGUAGACGCAGG